GUCGUUGUAGCUUAUUUUUACAAAGCGCGGCACUGAAGAUGCCGAGACGAGGAACGGAAAAACCUCCACAGACA
rnacentral:tRNA from 1 species